CGGGAAAAGGAUUGGCUCUGAGGGCUGGGCACGGGGGUCCCAGUCCCGAACCCGUCGGCUGUCGGUGGACUGCUCGAGCUGCUUCCGCGGCGAGAGCGGGUCGCCACGUGCCGGCCGGGGGACGGACUGGGAACGGCUCCCUCGGGAGCCUUCCCCGGGCGUCGAACAGUCGACUCAGAACUGGUACGGACAAGGGGAAUCUGACUGUCUAAUUAAAACAUAGCAUUGCGAUGGCCAGAAAGUGGUGUUGACGCAAUGUGAUUUCUGUCCAGUGCUCUGAAUGUCAAAGUGA
rnacentral:rRNA from 17 species